GAUGAACGCUGGCGGCGUGCUUAACACAUGCAAGUCGAACGAUGAAGCCCAGCUUGCUGGGUGGAUUAGUGGCGAACGGGUGAGUAACACGUGAGUAACCUGCCCUUAACUUUGGGAUAAGCCUGGGAAACUGGGUCUAAUACCGGAUAGGAGCGCCUACCGCAUGGUGGGUGUUGGAAAGAUUUAUCGGUUUUGGAUGGACUCGCGGCCUAUCAGCUUGUUGGUGAGGUAAUGGCUCACCAAGGCGACGACGGGUAGCCGGCCUGAGAGGGUGACCGGCCACACUGGGACUGAGACACGGCCCAGACUCCUACGGGAGGCAGCAGUGGGGAAUAUUGCACAAUGGGCGAAAGCCUGAUGCAGCGACGCCGCGUGAGGGAUGACGGCCUUCGGGUUGUAAACCUCUUUCAGUAGGGAAGAAGCGAAAGUGACGGUACCUGCAGAAGAAGCACCGGCUAACUACGUG
rnacentral:rRNA from 1 species